ensembl:snRNA U6 U6 spliceosomal RNA
GUGCUUAUUUCAGCAGCACAUACACUAAAAUUGGGAUGAUACAGAGAAGAUUAGCAUUAGCAAGGAUGACAUACAAAUUUGUGAAGCAUUCCACACUUUU